CACCGAUCUUACAAGAACCGAGUGGAUCUGGCAGACAGACAGAUGAAGGAUGGAAACGUGUCUCUGGUUGUGAUGAACGUGACGACCAGCGAUAAUGGAACAUAUGAAUGUCGAGUUCGAAAUCAAGGAAGCCUGGAUCCUGAACUGAUCAGAACCAUCAAGCUGCAUGUUUCCCUUCAUCCUCCUCCAGGAGACAAGAACUCAGGAAACCAGGAUGGAUCCAUCGGACUGAUAGUUGGUCUGAUUUCAUCUCUGCUGGUUUUUGCUGCUGCUGUUUUAUUUCUGAUGUAUAAGAAACAAUCUGCUUGUUUCAGGAAGAAACCCUCAGAUCCUCCAGCUGAUCUGUAGAUCAAUCAACGCCUUAAUUCUGUAAACAUAACAUGAUUUGCAUCAGAUUAUUGCUGCUUUUCUAAUCCAUCAUCAUGAACUGAUUUCCUCCUGCAGUUUGUUUUCUCUGUUUCAACAUCACAGCUGAUCAACUUCCUGAUCUGAUCAAUCAUGAUGUCACUCAUAUACAGGCCUGACAUCCACUGAUGUGAAAUGGACCAUAAUCCAUGUCUCUGGAUUAUAAUCUGCAGAACUUCCAUCAGUAAAAUCUUUCUCAGAUGCGUCCAGCUUGGUGAUUUAAAUGAUGCGUCAGUCCCAGCAGCAUCAGCUGAUUUUGGGCCGUUUGUUAUUGAUCCAUUUCACAUCAGUGGAUCCAUCCUCACCUUUAAUCUGAGGAGCAGAAAAGUGUUUCCUGGUCAUUUGGUGAUAAUCUGAGGAAAAUCCUGAAUGUCUGCAGACAUGAAGCUUCAUCAGGAUCCAUGUUGCAGCAAGAGAAAGAAAAAUGUUGGAAACAUGAAGAAUAAUCUGAUCAUCAUAUGAAUAUUUUAUUGAGUUUUUCUGUUUGUAUUUAUUCUGACCUCAAUGUGUUUCUCAGGUUUACAUGUUUGUGCUUUUUUAUAAAGUGUUUAUUUUGUUAUGUUUUCCAGUAUUAUGAUGAAUAAAAGCCUGAAACAUUGAAGUGA